rnacentral:rRNA from 1 species
AACGAACGCUGGCGGCAUGCCUAACACAUGCAAGUCGAACGAGACCUUCGGGUCUAGUGGCGCACGGGUGCGUAACGCGUGGGAACCUGCCCUUAGGUUCGGAAUAACUCCCCGAAAGGGGUGCUAAUACCGGAUAAUGUCUUCGGACCAAAGAUUUAUCGCCUUUGGAUCGGCCCGCGUUGGAUUAGCUAGUUGGUAGGGUAAAAGCCUACCAAGGCGACGAUCCAUAGCUGGUCUGAGAGGAUGAUCAGCCACACUGGGACUGAGACACGGCCCAGACUCCUACGGGAGGCAGCAGUGGGGAAUAUUGGACAAUGGGCGAAAGCCUGAUCCAGCAAUGCCGCGUGAGUGAUGAAGGCCUUAGGGUUGUAAAGCUCUUUUACCCGGGAUGAUAAUGACAGUACCGGGAGAAUAAGCCCCGGCUAACUCCGUG